rnacentral:snoRNA from 1 species
GUUCAUGUCUCUGUUGAUGGGUCUCCUCCAGUAGCCAAACAUUAUUAGAAACACCUUGCAGAGUGACUCUGGUUUUAAUUUGUUUACAGGAUUGUUUCCAGGUAUGUCAGAAGGAACUACAAGACAGUU